rnacentral:lncRNA from 1 species
CCCAGGCAAGUUGACAUAUAAGGUAAACCAUCACAUGGAUGUUUAGGUUUGUUCUAUUUGUUACUUUUACAAACAAAGUGCAUUCAUCUGAUCAUUUGCCUUAGAUAAAUUACUGGAAAUAGAAGAAUUUAUCUUUUAAAUAGAUCUAUUUAUAUCUGAUCAUUUGAUGCAUUCUUCCAAAUUUCCCUCCAGAAAGCUUGUACCAGUUGUGACUCCCACCAAUGCUGGCUGAAGAUGUCAGAAAGCAAAACCUAUUCUAAGGUGUCCCAGGCUCAAGCCUGAGUUCCUAGUUUGGUAAUGACACUGGGGAAUUUCUUGUUUUAUAUAUUUUUUGUGCAUUUCAAAAGAAAUGAUCAAGAAGCUGUGAUGGGAUGUUUUUGGUCUUGAAGGACCUAGUAAUACACUUCUCUGUUUCAAGGUGUGGCUGUGCAAUUCCCAGCCCCACUAGUCCCCUGUCUUGUAUGUUUAUCCAUUGUACCUUCUCUGCUGCUGGUGAUUCUCAGUAGGGCACGUUCUCAAGCAGGCCUCCCUAGGGGUGGAUGGUGCCAUUGCUUCCAUCCAGUUGGAUGGAUCCUAAAAACUUAACAGGCCAUAACACAGGGGUGGAGAAAGCUCAGAGCUCCAAACAAAAGGGGAGAACCAUCUGGCCUUUCCCAGUACCUACUCUAGUAGAGCAGGUUAAUUAAAAACAGAAGCAACCAUAAGACCUGACUGGUGUUAUCUCUUUUCCCAGCCCCAACCAAGGCAAAACAACAAAAAAAGCCCAUACUGAGACUCAGGGUCUUUUGUGUUUAUGAUUCCCAUGUGUGUGGUCCCAGAGAGAAAGAGGUUGGAGGAGGCAGGGGCUUGAGGUCAGCAGGCUGCAGUGGAGAGCUGCUUUCCUGUGAGGAGGCUGAAGUCCCCUAAAACGAAGAGAAAGCUUGGGAUGUUGGGCUAUUCCCGACCCUGCUUUCAUGUCACUCUCUCUGAUUUCAUUUCACAUAUCACAGUUGACAGGGCAUAGAUACUCUCGAGACUUUUUUUUUUUUUGAGAUGGAGUCUCGCUCUGUCACUCAGGCUGGAGUGCCGUGGCAUAAUCUCGGCUCACUGCAACCUCCACCUCCUGGGUUCAAGUGAUUCUACUGCCGCAGCCUCCCAAGUAGCUGGGACUACAGGUGCAUGCCACCACACUCGACUAAUUUUUGUAUGUUUAGUAGAGACGGGGGUUUCACCAUGUUUGCCAGACUGGUCUCAAACUCCUGACCUCAGGUGAUCUGCCCACCUUGGCCUCCCAAAGUCCUAGGAUUACAGGCAUGAGCCACCACACCAGGCUCUAGAGACAUUUCUAAAGGGGAUGCUUGGAAUCUUGAGAAGCCUGUAGGUCUUCUUGUAGGCAAUCAAUUAUCUGCUCAUUGAAGUAAGAAAGCCAAGUACUUGAUUGGGGGCAGGUGGGUGGGCAAUGGUAGGACAUUUACUCCCAGACCCCAUGCUUGAAAAUCAAUUCUCUUUCCAGUUUUCCAACUUUUCUGUUUUAAGCAACAUCAGUCAGGUGUCAGAAUGCCCACAAAGCUUUUCUGAUUGAAUGAGUAAUAGGUAGGCUCUAUUUUAUUCUGUGUGAAAAUUAAGGGUCUUUAUCUCUCAGCUCUUACCAUGGCCAAUAAAUAAAUGCUUUGGAAGGUACAGCUGUGGCCUUCUCUGGAAUUGAGGACCCUCAGAACACUGCUGGCACCCUAGACCUUCCACAGAGCUUGGCCCAAUGAAUGAAUGAUGGGAACUUGGACGCAAGAGCAAUGGUGAGAUUUGCUCGGGUCUCUCCUGCCCAAGUUAAUUUGCAUAUCUGUUGUAUGGCUUCCAAGCAAGGUAAGGACAAUUUGGCCUAAUUUUAUUUGUAUCUAUAAUCCAACCUAGGGGUUUGAAGGACAAAUAUCAAACAGUGGCAGAUUUCUGUUUCAGUGUUGAGCACCGGGUGUCCCUUCAGGCCUUGUUCAAGGCAGCUCCCAAGAGUCCAGUGGGCAACCUAGUGUUAGGAGGUUGCCUGUCCCAUCUCUCUAGGGUAUGAGACCAAAAGAUGGGCUUUGUUUGGUUUCCUGGAAACCUUGCCUCUGUGAAAGAGCAUUCAGGGAUCUCAAAGGACCAAUCUUGUACUUCCCUCCAUGCCACCUGUCUACCUUCCAAGCCAAAGGUGCAUGGUAGCCACUUUAGGGGGAA